AAUACCAUUGUAUGUUGACUUACUUCGUUUCACAGAAUCCUUGACUGAACAGCACAUCCUGUUUUUCAUACUCAAUGAAUUAAUCAAUUGUUCAAGAGAUUAGUUUCUGGGAAAGUCGCAGUUCUGCACGGCACAUAUAUAACCGCAGCUACCUCAACUGAGCGGAAACAAAGCGGCGAGUGCUGCGAUAGCAUCAAGAGCUGUUGAAUUAACGGUGUCACAAAUUACUCAGAGCCCGAGAGAUUGAUUAUGGAAGGUGAAGAAAAGAGUAAGAAUACAGAUACAUCAACGAAAACUGACAAAUUAGAGGACAAGGAAUUCGAAGACGGCAAACCUUUUUUUCAACGUGAAAAAGUGAGGCGAGGCAGGAUGCCAUUUCCACCGCCGCCGUCUUCUGGCAGCAACCCCAAAAGCAAUACCUCAAGUAACUUUCAAGCCCAGAAGACAAACUGGAAAUGACUGCGUCCCGACGCUGUGGUUAUUUUCCUCUCUUUUAAUUUUGUUUCGUUUAGUAAUUUAGGUUGAAAUGAAUUCCGAUUUUUAGGAACUUCAAGUAUUAAAAGCACUUAGGUUUGCUAAAUAGGCACUAGAAGGGCUUUCCGCCCCCAAAUAUCAGUUGUGGUGGACAGAGAUCAUGAGCCGUCAUGAAAAAACGACAAAAACUGAAAGAGAUCUUAAAUGUUUGCUAUUUUGCUAAAGUUAAGCUAUGCGAAGUCACUGCUGACAAAGCACCUUGGACAGGAGGCUGGACAAGCACAUGAUACAUCGUUCUUAGUGAAUUUUAAAAUGCUUCUUGCUGGAAAAAUGAAAUGUAAACUCGCCAAUUUUGAUCGCAGUUGCUUUGAUCUUCAGAAAUUCUUCCUUACUAUGUUGUUGUAAUUUAUAGUCGUUUGAAUAUAUAACACAUCCUCAAAUUUGCAGAUUUGGAAAGAUCUUUGACCAUCUAUGACGGAAAGUUGUAAUAACAAAUAAAAUAAAAACUAUAAUUUGGUUAUUA